AAACCUCUUUUGCAAUGAUGACUCUGGACACAGCUAAACGGUCUCUAACCAAAUCCCUCCUGUGACCUUUUUCCUGUUACUUCUUGGACUCUCAGAUGCCUUGUUCGUGUGUUCAGAGCUGCUUGACAGUGAGAUCAGUACGAUCUUGGAGACCUCAGCCACCACACGUAACCCAACCUCCAGGUGCUCAGGCUGUGUGUUGCGCUUUGGGGAGGUGACCAGCUGGUGGUUCCCUGUCCUCCAGAGGUCCUGUCCCCACAGCUGUGACCUGCACCGGGUGCUCCAGCAGGUCACACACGCACACACACAGCGCCUCCGCGACCACAGGAGGAGAGACGCGUGCGCAGCAGAACAGAGAGACACCCGGCCACACACUCUCACCCUGGGGCUCAGGAAGGGAGAGACGCAGGGAGAAGGAAAGAGGCCUCGGUAUCAAUGCAGUGAUGUGAGUCUCACCCCUCUGAAGAAGUCUGGUCCGAAUGCAGGCAUCAGCCUGACUCCUCUGUGUGGUGGUGGUUUGUCACGUGUGACCAGCAGGGGGCAGGAGAGAGACAGUAGAACCCCUCACAGGGAAGAUGAUGUCACUGAUGAUCAGCAGAAGACCGUAUCCAUGGGAAACCCCUGUUCGACUGUAAGAGAGAGUGUCUGUGUUCUGUGUCCCGUUCUGGUUGUAACAGUCUGUGGAUGUUCAUCUAUGGUGGAUGGACUGUGUAGAAUGGCUGGUUUUCUAGUAACCUCUCGCUGUGACUGCAGAGGCAACUGUGUAUGAUCCUGGGACCACAUAUCCCCAGAAACAAUAUACAAAUCAGUCCCUGCAAGGGUUUUGGCAGGUCCCCAUAAGGCUAAUGGGAUUUAGGUUAGGUAGAUGUUGGCUUAGGCUU
rnacentral:lncRNA from 1 species